UAAUUCUUACGUUCUUCACGCUCCGACAGCAGCCAGAGAGAUGGGGAAGGGUCUCAAAUGGGGCCUUGCAUCUCCGACACUCCUUAUUCAAAAGGGUCUUCCAUGCAUUAAAGUCGUUUUGGCCGGGUAGAGAUUACAACGCAACAGUAAGAUAUGAAUGAGCUUGGAGGUCCUGGUGUGAUUUGCUGUUUUAACCCAUGCAUUAGAUAUCAUAUCGUUCUUAAAAUAUUUAAUUCCAAGCCCUUGACGCUCACUGUAAGUUUAUCUACUUUGUUAGUGCUACUUCCCUCCAAGAUUUGUAGUUAACUACUUCACUCGCUGACUAUUUCCUGUCCCUCUUCAUUACCUGAUGAAGGGCUUUUGCCCGAAACGUCAAUGGAUGCUGCCUGACCUGCUGUGCUUUUCCAGCACCACAUUCUCGACUCCUUCAGACGUCCAGAUCUCCCGGAGAAUCUUCAAUUUAGUCAACGCCUUUAUAAGUUCAGCGUUGCUGUCUUUACGAAAUUGCAAGGAAACAUGGAUAAACCUUAUCUGGAGAUCUUUCAAGGGCCCCUCGUUUCUUCAAAACAGCAGUAGGGACCUCUGUUUCUAGUUUAGGGAUCCUCAGCCCUCCAUCUCUGUUCGGAUGCCAGUGGUUGGAAAAUGUAGCAAAAAUGUAAAAUCUCAUUGAGAAAACCCCGAAUAAAAGAAUCAAUUGUUUGUAAAAUAUUUUGUGUCGCUUUUAUAAGGACCGUGUUAUAAUACUUUCUGGUUAUAACAUAGGUCUUAAAAUAUUCUACUUUCUACAUCAGGCGGAGGGCCGACGUUUUGAAAUUCUCUGCCCAUAACUUCAGCUGAUCUUGCCAGUUCGCCCCGUCAAUACCCGGCCGGGGACCUAUCUGGGCACCUAAAUACUUUUUCGUCUCACCCAGAAGCUUACAGUACAUUGGAUUUCGCUCUCACAAAGUCUCCAGUUCUUCAAAUAACUUGCACACGAAGGCCUUACUUUCUGACGAAGAAUGAAAUCCUUAUUUUUAUAUUACUCGUAAGGCCGGUGUUUUCACAGAACCGCUGAACUAUCUUCAAAUUUCUAUCCACACCCGAGGGAGUUUCAACUGGUAAUGCUAUAUCGUCUGCAAAAGCAAGGACUGAACAAAGGAUAAGCUUUUCGUUAAAAUCCAUAAAAAUAUCCGAUUUUGCAUCUUCCAGUGUACAUAUCAAUAGGUCCAUCGCGAUGGGAUAAAGACUCAUCCUGCUUCACUCCUUGUGCGGCUUUGAUCAAAUCCGUCUUACAGUUAUGGCCCUCAACUACCGUAGUGUUCUUCGCAUAUACAUUCGUUAUUAAUUGGAUAAAAUCUUUUGGGAGGCCCACUCUUUGUAAGGGUUUAAAAAGCAAUUUAUGCCCAACUGAAUCGAAACCCUUCAGAUCGAGACCGAAAAACGGCUGUCUUAUUUUAUUCCUUUUAG